rnacentral:rRNA from 1 species
UGGCCAGACUCCUACGGGAGGCAGCAGUGGGGAAUAUUGCACAAUGGGCGAAAGCCUGAUGCAGCAACGCCGCGUGAAGGAAGAAGGGUUUCGGCUCGUAAACUUCUAUCAACAGGGACGAAAGAAAUGACGGUACCUGAAUAAGAAGCCCCGGCUAACUACGUGCCAGCAGCCGCGGUAAUACGUAGGGGGCAAGCGUUAUCCGGAAUUACUGGGUGUAAAGGGUGAGUAGGCGGCAUGGUAAGCCAGAUGUGAAAGCCUUGGGCUUAACCCGAGGAUUGCAUUUGGAACUAUCAAGCUAGAGUACAGGAGAGGAAAGCGGAAUUCCUAGUGUAGCGGUGAAAUGCGUAGAUAUUAGGAGGAACACCAGUGGCGAAGGCGGCUUACUGGACUGUAACUGACGUUGAGGCUCGAAAGCGUGGGGAGCAAACAGGAUUAGAUACCCUUGUAA